UUUGGGCUCUUUGUGUUCACAGUGGACCUUGAUUUAAUUUCAAUACAAUUAAGGCACGCGGUGAAUGCCAAGAGAGAAGCC
rnacentral:pre_miRNA from 1 species